AAAUAAUAAUUAGUAGUAUUUUAAAAAGUAUUUAUUUUAACAUUUAUUCUUAUAAUCAAUCUAAUAUAGAUAUUAGAAAAAAACUUUUUUCUUUUAUAUCUUUGAACACCAUUUAUCUUGUACUAUGCUGACACAGCAUAGAGGACACACGUGGGAUAACCGGCACAGAAAUCAAGUCAGAGAAAGGAGCUAUAAAAUCACGUGGGCGACGAAGGUUUUCCAUAGGCUUACCUCUUUCGGCAAAAGACGCUUCCAAAUAACGUUUCCGUCUUUUGAAUUGAAAAUCAAUCCUUAAUCAAUCUUUUGAAUUCGUGGAACUAGGAACGUCGAGAACCGCCCAUCCGAAAUACCUGCAAUGCGCUUCGGACGAAAAUCGAUCGUGUUCCUGGUCUCGGCUACGCCCCAAAGAACCAUUUGCCAGGAAUUUACCAAUGAGACGUGCUUUAUCCUUUACUAGUUAGAAUUAUAUCAUUAUUAUUAUUACAUGUUAUAUUAUUUUAUUUAAGAUUUUGUUUUUCUUCAGAUUUUAUUUUCUGCUUCAACGGCAAAAAUAACAGCGUGAAUAAAAAUAAGAGAACUUUGAAUCAAAUGAAUCUUUAAGAUUCACAUCGAGACAUUAUCUGAAUGCAGAUAGAAAGUGGUCUUGUGCCACUUAUUGUGCUUGUCGAGAAAUAUACUCGCACAAAUAUUCAUGGAAUAUUUCUACAAUUCUGAUUCUCUAAAAAUUUUUACCAUUAAUUUCAACAUUAAUCAAAAAAUUGUACAACACGUACACAAGUCAAACCUAACCUAUGAUUAUGUUUGUUCAAAUGAACAAUUUUUAAAAAGAGUUUUUUACUAUCAAAUAGAUAAAAACACCGAUAUAUUUUUAAUAAAUUUUCCAUUUUCUUUUUUCAGAUUUUACAAAAUUAUAUUACGUAAGUUCAACCAAUUACGAAGAACGAAAGGAAAUGGAUAGAAAACGUGACAUAUAAAAUGCAGUGGACGUAUCCAAACAUGGACAUACUGCUUCGUGAUUCGAUCGUGUGAACCUCUCCUUAUUUUUUACCUUCUUUUAUCGCGUUUCUUUUUUCGCAAUAAAUAUUUUACGAGUCAUAUUACGAAUAUCUUCUAAAUAUGCUAUGCAACUUUGAGAAGAGAAGAGGAUAAAUUUUAAAAUAACACUUUCGAGUGUAAAAUAAAAUAAUUCUACGAAAAUAUUUUUAAAAGAAAUAUAGAUAACGCGAAUCACAUUUUAUCAUUUCUGGGGACAUUAUUAGAUAAACUUACUUACUAUAAACAAAACCGAAUACAAACGAAAACGGAAUAUGUAAAUGUCUUUCCCGUUUUGGAAAUGCGACAUCGUGUCACGAUGAUAUCACCGUGAAGUGUUACUCAAUAAAAAACCAGACUGCUCGCAGAAUUGGAUAUUCUCAGUUUUCUAAUUGAUAAUUGUAAUCUUAUUAAAACAAUUUGUGCAUAGCGUGUAUAAAUAAUAACAUUCGUUUCAAUUUUAUGAUCGAAAUCGUGGCAGAAAAUUAUCUUCGAGCGAGCAAAAAAAAAAAAAAGAAAAUAAGAUAAGGAUAAAAAUUGAAACAAGGAGAGAGAACAGGAUUCGCGAGAGAGAAAAAGGAGGAGAAGAACAAGCGGGUGACUCACAAUCAGAUUUCGAAGCUACCGUUAUCGAGUUGGCUCCCUUGAUCCACGGACUCGGCCGCGAUGUAUCCUGCACUCUGUCCAAAGUAGAAAACGACACCAUUUACGGCAACUUGCGUCUCCGUUGUUACUCGUGUCAGAACGAAGAUCAUUCGAGAAAGUAGCCGUAUGUCAAAAUCUUGUCCUCGAUACAACCAGUACCUCGGCCACCCUUGCUGCUCCUCGAAUGAAAAUCUUUCGGAUAUUUCGAAAAAAUUUUUUGCAAACGAAUGAUCUAUAAAAUACCUAAAAGGGUGAUGAUAUUUCCGUGUAAUCGAGAUACACGUCGAGACGGAUAUACGGCUGCGGAAAUAUUUAGACGUGUUUGUCGUGCACGACGUCCUCGGGAUCAAUAAAAGUUGAGGCGGGGCAAGGUACGGUACGUCUGUCGCGUCGUUCCGACUCGCCUCUUCCAAAUUAUCCUCAUUCGCCCGUGUCAUCGACAGUAAUUAAUCUUACCUUCGAACGCAUAAAAAUGUACGAUUAAUAUUUCCCUUAUCUUAUCUUGUUUUGUUUUUUCGCGUGCUCAAAUAUAGAUAGAUCCGUGGAAAUAAUUCUUGGAAUUUCUUCAAAUUUUUUUUUCCAUACAUUUGUUAUUAUUACGAGAGUUAGAUAAUCUUUUACAUAAUUCAUAAUUUCUAAGAUUAUAAAAAAUACGAAUAAUGAAAAUUACGAAACGUAUUAACGGAAUUGAUGUAAGAAAAAUAUUUUAUAUACAAACAAAAGGAAGCGUGUUCGGGAAGCUCGAUAAUAUCAUGAGUGACUCAUAAGCAUCCCUUCUCAUAUGUAUAUAAAAUAUUUGUCAGUAUCAACAAAAGUUAUCAGUUAUUAUUCAAUCGUACAAUAAUAAUAAUAUUAUUAUUUUUAAUAAAAGAUAAUUGUUGUAAAGAUAA